rnacentral:rRNA from 1 species
CAUGGAGGAUGGCUCGGCUCAAGCGCCGACGAAGGUCGUGCCAAGCUGCGAUAUGCCCCGGGUAGACGCAUGGAGUCUAUGAUCCGGGGAUGACCGAAUUGGACAUCCUGCACCGGUCUCCGGUGCAUACCCUUCGGGUAAGGUAACCUGCCGGAUUGAAGCAUCUUAGUAGGCAGAGGAAAAGAAAUCAAUAGAGAUUCCCUCAGUAAAGGCGAUCGAAGAGGGAAUAGGGCAAUCCGAAUCCGCAUCCGCAAGGAUGUGGAAAUGUGGAGUUGCGAACCCGUGUCCACCCACCCCAGCGAACCUGAAGUCUCCUGGAACGGAGCACCAGAGAGGGUGAUAGUCCUGUAAGGGCAAGCUGGAGGGUGAUGGCGGGUCUUCUGAGUAGCGUGCGUUGGAAAUCGCGCGUGAAAAUCGGGGGCAUCAACCUCGAACCCUAAACACGUCUCGAGACCGAUAGCGCAUUAGUAGCGUGAGUGAACGUUGCAAAGCACCCUUGACGGGAAGUGCAAAGAUCCUGAAACCAUGCGGUCACAGGUGGCGUGAGGC